rnacentral:rRNA from 1 species
UACGUAGGGGGCAAGCGUUGUCCGGAUUUAUUGGGCGUAAAGAGCGUGUAGGCGGCCAUACAGGUCAGCUGUGAAAACUCGAGGCUCAACCUCGAGACGUCGGUUGAAACCGUAUGGCUAGAGUCCGGAAGAGGAGAGUGGAAUUCCCGGUGUAGCGGUGAAAUGCGCAGAUAUCGGGAAGAACACCCGUGGCGAAGGCGGCUCUCUGGGACGGUACUGGACGCUGAGGAGCGAAAAGCAUGGGGGAGCGAACAGG